rnacentral:rRNA from 1 species
GACGAACGCUGGCGGCGUGCUUAACACAUGCAAGUCGAACGGAAAGGCCCUGCUUUUGUGGGGUGCUCGAGUGGCGAACGGGUGAGUAACACGUGAGUAACCUGCCCUUGACUUUGGGAUAACUUCAGGAAACUGGGGCUAAUACCGGAUAGGAGCUCCUGCUGCAUGGUGGGGGUUGGAAAGGUUAGGCGGUUGGGGAUGGACUCGCGGCUUAUCAGCUUGUUGGUGGGGUAGUGGCUUACCAAGGCUUUGACGGGUAGCCUGCCUGAGAAGGUGACCGGCGACACUGGGACCAGAAUACGGCCCGAGCUACUAGGGAGGACAAUAGCGGAGUAUGUUGCACAAUGGACCAGAGCCGGAGCGAGAGAGGCCGCGUGCUGUAGGUUGGAAUUCGGGUUGGAAAGCGAAUACGACUGUGACCAAGGGUAAAUGACGGUAACGGGUAAAGAAGCACCGGCUAACUACGUG